CAAGCAAGCAAGGAAGGAGGCAGGCAGAGUGGCCCCCACAGCUCUCUGCAGCAGACCCUCUGCCCAGCCCAGCAUUUGCCAGUUUUUGUAGGGGAAGACUGGCAGUUCAGUCCGCAAAUAGCAGAGCAAAACCAGUUUGGUGAGAAAGCAGCAAAACGAGGUCUUGAGACAGUUCUUUAGUACUGAAGAACUACAAGGAUUUAUUUAAAGAAAAGGUUACAAACAAAUGUGAAAAAGCCUGCAGCUUAUUUCAGCUGUAGCUCAUGGGUGAAGAGAGAGACCAAAAUGAACAGCCAUCUCUGGAGAGACAAAAUGGAGACUAACACUGGAAGAACAAAGGGAAGGGCGGUAUAUAAAUUGAAUAAAGAAAUAAAACGUGUGCAAAAGAAGGUGUAUAUAAAUCUGCUCCCACCAUUCAACUGAAUGGUGAAAUCCUUGUGAAUGAGAGAGACUCUGUGGAGUGAAAAGAUUACCUGCAUCUUUGCUUUUAGAAGUUCAGCUACUACAUUCACAGAAGUCAUCGUCUCAGAGUUUCCUCCUCUGGAGAAAUUUAACCUGACACAGCACUGUCCGAACUGAAAUCCAUAUGUUUUUCAUUCUUGCAAAUUUGGUUCUGAGCAAUUUAGCUUCACAGUGUACAGAAUGCAUGGAAACUUCUUUUCGACAACAGUUCUCAAAGCAGUUUGCACAUUAAAGGAAUAAGGUGAGCCCCCAAAGGGGAGAGAAUAUGAAUGAAUGAAUGAAUGAAAGCAAGAGACAACACCAGCAAACAGCCACCAGAAUGGAGCUAGGCCGGACAGGGACAGUUGCUUGCCCCCUACGAAAUGUAAGCGAGACACAACUUUUUAAAAUGCCCUUUUCUCCCAGUUAGCAGAGGUUAAACCAAAUGCUUUAGAUUUUUUUAAAAUCACCAUUACAUUUUGGUCCUGCUGUAGCUUUAACUUCAUUAUAUUACUGCAGCAUGAGAGCUAAUUCUCAUCAAGAGUAGUCACAUUUUGCUGGCAUUUUGGGAACCAUUUACAUGAUCACUUCAGAUACUUUUUGUCUUAAACUGACGGUGAUUCCCCCCCCCCCAAUAAAAUUCUUCUUUCUGGAGGCUGGUAAUCCUGUCGUGUCAUUUGAUCAGCCACACAAAUUCCACUUCACGGAUCUAACCAAAGUGGAAUGGUUCUGACUUCUGGGAAGAAACUCUCAUUCUCUCUAGUAAUAUAUUAUUAUUAUUAUUAUUUUAUUUUACAUUUUAUAUCCCGCUCUUCCUCCAAGGAGCCCAGAGCGAUGUACUACAUACUCAAGUGCCUCCUCACAACAACCCUGGGAAGUAGGUAAGGUUGAGAGAGAAGUGAUUGGCCCAGAGUCACCCAGCAAGUCUCAUGGCUGAAUGGGGAUUUGAACUCGGGUCUCCCCGGUCCUAGUCCAGCACUCUAACCACUACACCACACUGGCAAUAUACAUUGGAGUGUACAGGGUUGUACUAGGAUAUGGAUGUGCAUUUAGUUUUAGUUAGUCAACUUCGUUCUGGUUAUUGCAUUAAUUAAAAGAAAGAAAGCUCAGUUCAAUUUUAGUAUUGCUUCCCAGCAGCCUGCCAUGAGACUUACAUGCAAAACCAUAUGGAGACAUUUAAACUAGAGGGGAAGGAAGAAGGGUGGGGAGGGAAGUAAAAACCAUUGUGAUGAUCAUGCCUGCUACUUUGAAUGGUGCAGCCAGCACAUGAGGCAACAUUAUGACACACACAGAGAAAUGCUGCUGUACAGCAUUGUUUGUUGGAUGGUGCCACAACGUGGCAACACACAGUCGGGGCACAGGAGGCCGAAGCUAUUCACACUAAGGAAUCGCUGGCUUUGAGCUCUUGCCUCACACAGGAGGUCCCAGGAGGCGACAGGGGGUCUCAGCAGGUUGUAGCAAUCCUAGGCUUGUAGCAUUGUAGCAGGGUCUCCACAGGGUGCAGGAGGGAAGGGGGGCCACAGCUGCCAGGCAGGGCCUCUGGACUCUCUGGUGAGCUUGGAGGCCAACAAAAGGUUUCCCGGCAAGAGGCAGCAAGGACCUGGAGUGGAGGCUAGAGUCGGUUAUCAAGGGAACGAGAAAUUACAGCAGGCUAUACUACCAUCCCCACAGCAAGCGGAGAGUUCAGAGAGGCUUGGAUGGGCUGUGGCUGAUGGCUGGGUAAUGCUCUGUUAGCUCGAACAGCCGGAGCCAGUCUCCUGCUUGUUCAUGAGUGGCCUCCUGCACUCACGGAGACUUCUUCCCAGGAGACCCUGUCAAGCUGUCAAAUGGGCGCUCCUGCACCACGCUUGGAGCAAAACCCAUUUCAUCGGUGUCAGUGAUCACAGCAGCUUGGCUGUUCCGCUCUUUCAGAAGCCUUGAGGGAUCCUGUGGGGUCCAGCCAGGGUGACCAGUUCCAGGUGACCAACAGUCCGGGGUCCCUACGGCCCAUACCUUGGGAGCCCUGGCUCAAGGUCUCUGUGAGAUCUUCUAGGGUUGCGGUCUCAGGAUUGGCUACUCUCAAGUCCCCGUUGGGAUCUCAAUGGUGCCUUCCUUUGAUUUGGGCUCUUCUAGAACCAGAUUCUCCACAGAUUCCCAUCGCUUCUUCAAGAAUCACCCCUUCUGGUGGCCCCCCAGAACUAGCCUCAGGGUCCUCACCUUGGUCCACCUUUAUGAACUUGUCAGGGUCCAUCUCCUUUGCUGACUCCCCACUGGGGGAACCUGGAAGGAUCCUGACAUCUUGCCUGCUGCUAAUUCUCAGGCAAAAGUGAAUAGCAAUUUUUUUCCUCCAGAGUCUGCUUCCCAACUCAUACUCCCAUUUCAAACUCAGUCACUUUUGCAAUUCUGGUUUUCUUUCCCCCUUAGUUUAGUUUUCCUCUUUCCUCUUAGUUUUACUUACAUGUUUUACUUUUAUUGCAGUGUUUGAUUUAAUCUUCUCCCUGUCUCAUUCAGUUUGUUGUGUGCAUUCUGUUUCCCUCUCGCCUGUAUUCCCUAAGCUAUUCCAUUCCUAGAAACUAGUGUUCCUGAACCUUCCAUUGCUAAGGUUCCCCAAGCAGCCCUGUGACUUCGGGUGGAUGGCACACUGCCAAAUCCAGGGAGAACACUGCUAUUUCUGCCCCAUACUGUUUCUCUUUGCUGCCAACUCUGUCUAAAUGUGGGCUGCCCGCAGCUAAUCUCCCCCUUUUUCUUCUUCUGUCCGACAUUCUGCUGCUCCUGUGCCCACCAGCAAUCAUCUGAUGUUUCUCUCCCCAUCUUCCUAAUCUGUUUCCCCAGAUACAUAUGACAAGUUGAAGCCCUGCUGCAUCUGAGACAUCAUGCCAGUUACAUGUUAUUCUUCUGCCACCUGACACCUGCAUAUUUGUCUCUCAAACUGUGCUCAGCUCUGGAAGACUGCAAAUUGUUACCCUGGACUUUUACACACAACAUUGGAGGAGAUAGGAGUUAAAGGACUUUAAAAGCCUUGCGUGAAAAACUUCCCUGUGCCUGUUUCCAUUAUACUGAGAACAAGAAAGAGGCCAACACCAAAACUUUGGAUAAAUAAAACUUUGGAUAGGGGCAGAUGAACAGGCAGAUUUGGCUUGCAUCACUGAGACCUGGUUAGAUCCGGAUGGGGGUGUUCCCCUUACUGAGAUGUGUCCACCUGGCUUCUCUGUGUUUCAUCAUCCCCGAGGUCCCGGUCGGGGGGGGCGGUGUCAAAGUGAUUUUUAAAGAAGAUCUUAUGUUGAUCAUGUUGGAGAUGAACUUCCAGUGCAUUGACCUUUUGCACCAACUGUCCUAAUGACCACUAGAGGCAUUGGGAGUAGAGACAAUCUACACUGAAUAGGCUAGGAUAAUCACCGCAUCUGUUUCAACUUUCUCAUCCAGUGGGUGAUUGAAUGAUGGCUUGUUGGUGCGAGUAUUUAACUCCCGUUUCAAGCACCAUUCAUCAAGGAACUUAGCAUGUUGAAGCAGGCAUGUUGGUGAGGUGCUGCCUUUUAGGACAAGGCUUUCCCAGAUUGUAGAUUUUUGGACUUCUGAUGAAGAUUCUUAUGAAACAGUUCAUUGCCUAGGAUGUUUGUCAGCUCUACUUUCAAGAUCACUGUGCUUGGACUGUGAUUCCAGUGUCAUCUUCAAGAUUCUCAUGCUUCAGAUUCCAGCUUCAUUUGCCAGAUUUUUGUGCUCAGCCUUUAGGUGAAGAGUUGCUGGGGUGUAGUGCUACACUUUGCUUGGUUUUUAACCACAUUUCCACAUAGCGGCACCACCCCUGUGCAUGAUGAACUUCAGUGACUGUGGCUUAUUGUACUUAUUAUAUUGUAUGGAGUGUAUUCUGCCCUUACUACUGUUUUUUAUCAUACUUAUCACAGGGGUGCCUGUGAUUUUUUGCCAUUACACUGUCAUACCUUCCACGUUGUGCUCAGUUUUCUAGUGCCUUGGUGUUUUUGCAUGGGUUACUGUUCAUAGUUUUUGACUGGAGAAAGGGCAUUGGCCAUUGUGACCUCAUGCUGAUGUUGCCCUUUGAAGGAUGGAGAGCAAGUUGCCAACUAUCCAUUUGAAGGAGGCACACAUACAAGCAGCUCCUAUGUUCACAUGUUCCCUUGAUUUUCAUAAGAUGGGUGCCCUUUGAGCCCCAAACUAGACAGGGUUUUCCUCCUUUCUCACUCCCCCAUCCUUUGGAAUGCAAUUUUCACCUCUCCUCAGACAAGCAGGCACCAAUAUCUUACAACACUUUUUAAAGUCAUGGGAUGACUGCCCUGCAGGCUGCCAGUGAUGUGCUCUUGCUUUCUCUCGCUCGCUCUCUCUCUCCUAUGCCCAUCUGCAGCCUAUCAGCCAUUUCUCUAAGAAUAGGAGCCACUGAAGAGUCAGCAGACACCAUUUGGGGAUGAGAAAGCAUCACAGAACCAGCUUGAGAAGGGUUAUAGUUAUUCCCACAGAGAAAAAUGGAAAACAAAUAAAAUUAAAAAUGAAAGCUAAA